GCAUAACGCGAAGAACCUUACCCACCUUUGACAUGUACGGAAUCCUUUAGAGAUAGAGGAGUGCUCGAAAGAGAGCCGUAACACAGGUGCUGCAUGGCUGUCGUCAGCUCGUGUCGUGAGAUGUUGGGUUAAGUCCCGCAACGAGCACAACCCUUGCCAUUAGUUGCUACGAAAGGGCACUCUAAUGGGACUGCCGGUGACAAACCGGAGGAAGGUGGGGAUGACGUCAAGUCCUCAUGGCCCUUAUAGGUGGGGCUACACACGUCAUACAAUGGCCGGUACAAAGGGCAGCGAAGCCGCGAGGUGAAGCCAAUCCCAUAAAGCCGGUCGUAGUCCGGAUCGCAGUCUGCAACUCGACUGCGUGAAGUCGGAAUCGCUAGUAGUGGCGCAUCAUCUACGGCGCCGUGAAUACGUUCCCGGGUCUUGUACACACCG
rnacentral:rRNA from 1 species